ensembl:snoRNA
AGUCUCAUUCUAUUGAAAAUGGGCACUGUUUUUCAUGGGGCCCAUAAGUUGUUAAUGUGGCUACAUUGAGAACACAGGUUUUGCUUCCAUCACUGUAAUAUUAUUGCAGUGGUGACAAUGAGACCUGUAACAUUU